AGUGAACGCUGGCGGUAGGCCUAACACAUGCAAGUCGAACGGCAGCACAGUAAGAGCUUGCUCUUACGGGUGGCGAGUGGCGGACGGGUGAGGAAUACAUCGGAACCUACUUUUUCGUGGGGGAUAACGUAGGGAAACUUACGCUAAUACCGCAUACGACCUACGGGUGAAAGCAGGGGAUCUUCGGACCUUGCGCGAUUGAAUGAGCCGAUGUCGGAUUAGCUAGUUGGCGGGGUAAAGGCCCACCAAGGCGACGAUCCGUAGCUGGUCUGAGAGGAUGAUCGGCCACACUGGAGCUGGGACACGGUCCAGACUCCUACGGGAGGCAGCAGUGGGGAAUAUUGGACAAUGGGCGCGAGCCUGAUCCAGCCAUACCGCGUGGGUGAAGAAGGCCUUCGGGUUGUAAAGCCCUUUUGUUGGGAAAGAAAAGCAGCAGGUUAAUACCCCGCUGUUCUGACGGUACCCAAAGAAUAAGCACCGGCUAACUUCGUG
rnacentral:rRNA from 1 species